AGAAGUAUCCAGAACACAACAGGGGUUCUAUUCGUCCUCUGUCCUGGAAGAUGUGGCUGGGACUAUGAAACUGAAUUAAUCAUGCUCCAUAAUGACAAAGAUCAAGGUGUAGCAUGCCUGGGCAUUGUUGCAGUCAUCAUCUGGCAUCCCAUCCUAUUAGACAGGAAUGGUAGGAAGAGUUUAUGAGAAGGCAUGCCGACCUACAUGAUCCUGCCUGGAGACUAGCACAGGAGAUGAGUGAGCUGGAAGUCCAAGAUCAAGGCAGUGGAAGAUUCAGUGUCUGGUGGGAGCCUGCUUCCUGGUUCAUAGACACUGACCUCUUGCUGUGUCCUCAUAUGGCAGAAGAGAUAUGUCAUGGAUGCAAAAGGUAGAGAAAAGAAUUGGUGACAGAUGUCCUACCACUGGAAACAGUAAAUCAGGCCACAAUCAAAUGU